UUUCUUUUCCCCAGUGGCCCCCAACAGCAGUCAGAGUCCAGCGGUGUCUCUGAGAGUGAGCAGGCUGCAAAACUGUCACAUGAACCUAACCCGGCACACACCCCUCUGCAAAGCACUUUUGACAUGGGUGCCACCACGAAGUGUAACCUGCUUUUUCUCUCCUCCAUCAGGGCUUGGCAAUGUGACUUGCUUUGGCUAAUGGUGUUACAAUGUCUAUUUGACAUCAGUUUGUACACCCAGGAGUGUGGUCCCAGCUGUGUCCAAGCUGGGCUGGUUGUGUGGAGUGAAGGGCAAUGGUCCUGGCUCUGUUCUUCCCACUGCAACAAAGUUGUCUCCCGCAUACGUGUGAAUGGCCCCCUUCAUGACCAUCUAGUCCAGCUACCUGUUGACCCACAGCCCUGAGUGAUUACAGCUGCCGGCUAGCUCGGGCCCUAAGUCCCAGGGGAGGUGACAGAGCGCUGCAUCUCUGAGGAGAGAGCCCACAGAUUUCUCAGCUGCUUUGGCACCUGUAUGCUGAUCCCUGAGCCUCUGUACAUGGGUUGGUUAUUCCAGGUGAGAUACAAAGAUUCAGGAGAAUGUGUAACACAAAUAUUUGAAGUGAUGGCUGUGGCUCAUCUCCACUCAAGGAUGAAGCCGGGGAGCUUUCUGGACUGGCCGCUGGGAGGAAGCAUCUCAAUGUCCCUCUCACGCCUGCUCCACCAAUGUCUCUAUGACAGAUGUGUCCAAGCUCCUGGAGCAGUGCCUGGUGCAUGACAGCCUGGUGCACGGCAUGACAGCACGUAACGCCACGAAGAUGGAACACACGCUGGCGCCAGCACCUCAGCUCCCACACACAGGCCUCUCAAAACCAGACAAUCUUCCAGAGAAAAUGGGUGUGAGGCCACCUCCUGUUUCUGACUGCACCUGUGACAUUCCCUGUCACCUGGCAGCAACUCAUGACCGUCUCUCCCGACACCUCCCCCAGCCCUGGCAAACAAUUCAGCCAGUCACUCCAGCAGCUGAACCUCAGCCUUGAGGUUUGAUAACAGCGCCUGUGGAAUUACUCUAAUUUCUAGAACUGAUGAACUUUCACAGGCAACACGAGUUGAAAUAAUGAGCACAGAGAUGACAAAGAAUUUUCACCCAAGGUUCUUUGAAGUCUCCAGGAUAAUAAGCACUUGUUCCUUUCUACAAUGGGCAUAUAAAGAGAAAUCUAAAUAAUAAUUGCUGUAAUUAUCCUGAAAAUAUGCAGAGAUUAAUGGUGAUUAUGAAAAUCUGUCUAAUUGUUCUCUGAAGUCAUCGCUGAUCAAGUGGUAUCUUGAAACGGCCGCUGCCAAGGAACUUUUGACACUGAACUGCAGGUGGGCAAGGGGACGUGUCACCGUGCCUUUCUCCCCAUAAAAUCUUACCCUGUGUUUAUGAAAUCCGUUUUCUUCACUUCCAACCCCCUGGCCCACAUUUUAACUCUUCACACCGGUGCCCUGAAGAGGCUCCCGAGGCACCCUUAACGGGCUGCUUGAUGUCACUGUGGUUCAAAGCCCGAAGUUCAACUUGUUAUUUAUUCAAAUAAUUAAUUACUCUUGUAUCCAUCGAGCAGUUUGUCAUGACACAUUAAUGACUUGAUAGACUUCCAUGAACUGGUGAACACAGAACAGCAGAGCGUUUUUAUCGUCAUUUAAUUUUAAAACGAUCCUGUGUGAAAUUAUCUCGUUGUGAGUGAUGGGCACAUAAAGAACCGACUCAGCAAAGC